rnacentral:rRNA from 1 species
AGCGAACGCUGGCGGCAGGCCUAACACAUGCAAGUCGAACGAACCUUUCGGGGUUAGUGGCGGACGGGUGAGUAACACAUGGGAACGUGCCUUUAGGUUCGGAAUAACUCAGGGAAACUUGUGCUAAUACCGAAUGUGCCCUUCGGGGGAAAGAUUAAUCGCCUUUAGAGCGGCCCGCGUCUGAUUAGCUAGUUGGUUGAGGUAAUGGCUCACCAAGGCGACGAUCAGUAGCUGGUCUGAGAGGAUGAUCAGCCACAUUGGGACUGAGACACGGCCCAAACUCCUACGGGAGGCAGCAGUGGGGAAUCUUGCGCAAUGGGCGAAAGCCUGACGCAGCCAUGCCGCGUGAAUCAUGAAGGUCUUAGGAUUGUAAAAUUCUUUCACCGGGGACGAUAAUGACGGUACCCGGAGAAGAAGCCCCGGCUAACUUCGUG